UAAUACAUCGGAACGUGUCUUCUAGUGGGGGAUAACUGCCCGAAAGGGCAGCUAAUACCGCAUGAGACCUGAGGGUGAAAGCGGGGGAUCGCAAGACCUCGCGCUGGAAGAGCGGCCGAUGUCCGAUUAGCUAGUUGGUGAGGUAAAGGCUCAUCAAGGCGACGAUCGGUAGCUGGUCUGAGAGGACGACCAGCCACGCUGGGACUGAGACACGGCCCAG
rnacentral:rRNA from 1 species